UAAAAGUGUACUCUGAGGACCAUGACGAGAGUCUCUAUGUAUGGAGGUGGGGUCCAGGAAUCUGCAUUUUAACACAUACCUCGGGUGAUUCUGAUUCAGGUGG
rnacentral:miRNA from 1 species